rnacentral:rRNA from 1 species
AAUAGAUACCCUGGUAGUCCACGCCGUAAACGAUGAUCACUAGACGUUGGUUUUGCUUGCAAAAUCAGUGUCGUAGCUAACGCGUUAAGUGAUCCGCCUGGGGAUUACGGUCGCAAGACUAAAACUUAAAGGAAUUGACGGGGGUCCGCACAAGCGGUGGAACAUGUGGUUUAAUUCGACACUACGCGAGAAACCUUACCUAGGCUUGACAUGUAUUUGACAGCCGUAGAAAUACGGUCUUUGGGCUUCGGUCCGACAGAUACACAGGUGCUGCAUGGCUGUCGUCAGCUCGUGUCGUGAGAUGUCUGGUUGAGUCCUCUAACGAGCGCAACUCCUACUGCCAGUUGCUAUUUCGAAAGAAAGCACUCUGGCGGAACUGCCUGGGAAACCAGGAGGAAGGUGGGAAUGACGUCAAGUCAUCAUGGUCCUUAUGUCUAGGGCAACACACGUGUUACAAUGAUCAGUACAAAGGGUUGCAAACCCGUAAGGGGAAGCCAAUCUCAGAAAGCUGGUCUAAGUUCGGA